UAGGUGCGUUACACGGUGGUUUGUGGUUCAAGCAAGUACGACGAUUCCUUCGACUUGGAUUCUUAAUGCUAUUCUAAAACCAGAGAGUUAUGGUUGUUUGCAAUGGGACUUGAUAGCAAGUCGCACGAAAACACAUUAGUUUCAUGUCUUCCAUGGUGCAUGUGCAUCCACAUGUAGCUACUGGGAACAAAAUCUCAAUGUUUGGUAUCAGGAACAAGAAGCUUCAAUUGUUUUCAGAUUAGGUGAAAGACAUCCCAAGAGUUCUUUGCCAUCUAGUCUCUACAAUUAAAGGUGGAUAUGUUCAGAUAUGCUGCAGUGCUAAUGGUAGACUACAUUUUUGAAAUCCGGCAUUAAUGUUGCCAGGUUAGCUACUUGAUGAGAAACCUCACAGUAAAAUUGUCAAACCCUGACUUCAAAUCCGAUGUAAGUGCUUCUUUUAUCAUAAUUAAUCAGAUCCUCAUGAUCAUAAAAUUUGGUAUCUCACUGUCUCUCUCUCCUGAAGCAAAUUGAUCACAUACUGUCCUGUUUCCUCUACUGUUUUGCUAACCCGUAUGUCCUGAAGUGAGUGUUAUUAAUUUGGAAUUUAGAGACUUAGGCUCUUGGUUAUGUUGAUUUGUGACCCCCAAAAUUUGUUCGUAUCACUCACUGUAUUUGGUCCUUUACAUUCUCGAUGCAGGUUAUUUGUUAAAAUCCAUCCCACUGGAUGUAAAUUUCCGUUUGAGCCUUUUCCAGUUUUGCUGAACCUUCUCUCCACUCCACAUGGGCUACUAUAACAAUGUGUAUAGACGUAACUGUAACAUGCUGCUCAAUGGUUAAGGGAUUUCUCGUCAGCCAGGAACAUGAUUAGGUGCAUUUCUAAUGGAAAGGAAAGCUGUUCGGAGAUUUCAUUCCUACCUGCUCAAGAAAGUGUUUUGUUAAAUGUUGACUUAAAUAAUAUUAUGGAAGCUUCAAGAUGUGUUGGUAAGCAUGUCAGUUUACUGCUGUGUGUUGAUCCUCAGGUGCAUUUUCAAUAUGUUACGGGGUUUAUGGUGGAAACAUUGAUGAAAUCUGGCGUCAAGGUUUUGAGGUUAGCUGGUGGUGGUUAGGGAUCAAAUUUUUGAAUGAAGUCCGCAAAUCAGUCAGGGGCUUGUGACAGGAUAUCAGAAUUUGGUCAAAGAGAUUCGUCCUGCUUUUCCAUGAACUAUCAAUGACUGGUGCUCCAAUUUCCAUGAUGGAGUUGGCUUCCGAGAUUUUUAGAUAUUGUGCAACAAUAUAUGCAGUAGUUUUUGACCAGAUAGGGUAUGCAGUAGUUUUUGGCAGAUAGGGUUGGAUAAUUGCAAGAGCUCACAAGGAAAAGGAUCAAAGUGGUUGAAGACAAAAGUGAACUCAGCUUCAAAACUGCCAGGGAAGCAGAUCUUGUCAUUGCAGGAUCAACAAUCUGUGCUUAAUGGAUAGAUCAAUUCAUGGAUUUAGCUGGUGGAAGUCAAAUCGUGUGGUGGGUGAUAGAGGACUUUAAUCGAGCAAACCUGUGACUGACCGACUGAAACUACUAAUUUUUCUACUGAAGUACCGAGCAAACAAUGGUUAACAUGGUGUGAAGAGGACCAUAUAAAGCUUAGGUCUCAGGGGUUAUUGUU